rnacentral:rRNA from 1 species
UAGGGAAUCUUCCGCAAUGGGCGAAAGCCUGACGGAGCAACGCCGCGUGAGUGAUGAAGGUCUUCGGAUCGUAAAACUCUGUUAUUAGGGAAGAACAAAUGUGUAAGUAACUGUGCACGUCUUGACGGUACCUAAUCAGAAAGCCACGGCUAACUACGUGCCAGCAGCCGCGGUAAUACGUAGGUGGCAAGCGUUAUCCGGAAUUAUUGGGCGUAAAGCGCGCGUAGGCGGUUUCUUAAGUCUGAUGUGAAAGCCCACGGCUCAACCGUGGAGGGUCAUUGGA